CCUACGGGCGGCUGCAGUGGGGAAUAUUGGACAAUGGGGGCAACCCUGAUCCAGCCAUGCCGCGUGUGUGAAGAAGGCCCUCGGGUUGUAAAGCACUUUCAGUGAGGAAGAACGCCUGGUGGUUAAUACCCAUCAGGAAAGACAUCACUCACAGAAGAAGCACCGGCUAACUCCGUGCCAGCAGCCGCGGUAAUACGGAGGGUGCGAGCGUUAAUCGGAAUUACUGGGUGUAAAGCGCGCGUAGGUGGCUUGAUAAGCCGGUUGUGAAAGCCCCGGGCUCAACCUGGGAACGGCAUCCGGAACUGUCAAGCUAGAGUGCAGGAGAGGAAGGUAGAAUUCCCGGUGUAGCGGUGAAAUGCGUAGAGAUCGGGAGGAAUACCAGUGGCGAAGGCGGCCUUCUGGACUGACACUGACACUGAGGUGCGAAAGCGUGGGUAGCAAACAGGAUUAGAUACCCUUGUAGUC
rnacentral:rRNA from 1 species